UGAAGAUCAUGGGAAGACUGAUUUCAAUGUAUUGAUGGAUGAAGUAAAAAAUGUUACAGAAGAUGAGAAAGUUGGUUUGGGUGUGUUGAUGGAUGCAGUGAAAGCUUUUACAGGAGAAAAGGUUGAUGCAAGUGACUUAAAAAAUGUGUUGGGAAACAUGGGAAUUGAGGUCACCAAAAAAGAAC